rnacentral:rRNA from 1 species
AUUGAACGCUGGCGGCAGGCUUAACACAUGCAAGUCGAGCGGAGAUGAGGUGCUUGCACCUUAUCUUAGCGGCGGACGGGUGAGUAAUGCUUAGGAAUCUGCCUAUUAGUGGGGGACAACAUUCCGAAAGGAAUGCUAAUACCGCAUACGCCCUACGGGGGAAAGCAGGGGAUCUUCGGACCUUGCGCUAAUAGAUGAGCCUAAGUCGGAUUAGCUAGUUGGUGGGGUAAAGGCCUACCAAGGCGACGAUCUGUAGCGGGUCUGAGAGGAUGAUCCGCCACACUGGGACUGAGACACGGCCCAGACUCCUACGGGAGGCAGCAGUGGGGAAUAUUGGACAAUGGGCGGAAGCCUGAUCCAGCCAUGCCGCGUGUGUGAAGAAGGCCUUUUGGUUGUAAAGCACUUUAAGCGAGGAGGAGGCUACCUGGAUUAAUACUCUAGGAUAGUGGACGUUACUCGCAGAAUAAGCACCGGCUAACUCUGUGCCAGCCGCCGCCGCGGUA